rnacentral:rRNA from 1 species
ACUGCCCGAAGAGGGGGAUAACCACUGGAAACGGUGGCUAAUACCGCAUAACGUCGCAGGACCAAAGAGGGGGACCUUAGGGCCUCUCACUAUCGGAUGAACCCAGAUGGGAUUAGCUAGUAGGCGGGGUAAUGGCCCACCUAGGCGACGAUCCCUAGCUGGUCUGAGAGGAUGACCAGCCACACUGGAACUGAGACACGGUCCAGACUCCUACGGGAGGCAGCAGUGGGGAAUAUUGCACAAUGGGCGCUUGCUUGAUGCAGCCAUGCCGCGUGUAUGAAGAAGGCCUUCGGGUUGUAAAGUACUUUCAGCGGGGAGGAAGGCGACGGGGUUAAUAACCCUGUCGAUUGACGUUACCCGCAGAAGAAGCACCGGCUAACUCCGUGCCAGCAGCCGCGGUAAUACGGGGGGUGCAAGCGUUAAUCGGAAUUACUGGGCGUAAAGCGCACGCAGGCGGUCUGUUAAGUCAGAUGUGAAAUCCCCGGGCUUAACCUGGGAACUGCAUUUGAAACUGGCAGGCUUGAGUCUUGUAAAG